CAAUAGCGUAUAUUAAAGUUGUUGCAGUUAGAACGCUCGUAGUCGGAUUUCGGGGCGGGCCGACCGGUCUGCCGAUGGGUAUGCACUGGCCGGCGCGUCCUUCCUCUCGGAGACCGUUCCUACUCUUAACUGAGCGGGAGCGGGAGACGGGACUUUUACUUUGAAAAAAUCAGAGUGUUUCAAGCAGGCAGCUCGCUCUUGCAUGGAUUAGCAUGGGAUAAUGAAAUAGGACUUUGGUGCUAUUUUGUUGGUUUCGAACACCGAAGUAAUGAUGAGAAGGGACAGUCAGGGGCACUCGUAUUCCGCCGAGAGAGGUGAAAUUCUCAGACCAGCGGAAGACGAACCACUGCGAAAGCAUUUGCCAGGGAUGUUUUCACUGA
rnacentral:rRNA from 1 species